UAAUCACCUAAUUAAGAUCCUAGAAAAUUUUAAUAUCCUAAACUAAAUCAAUUCCUAUUUAAUCUCUAGAAAAUUCUAGUUUAGUCUUAAUGUCCUAAUUUAACAGUAGCUACACAAUUAAUAUCCUAAUCUAGUUAAUCAAAUAUCUAAACUAAUUUAAUUAGUAACCACUAACGCAAGGAAAUGGAUGAAAGAAUCAGAAUGGGCCUUCUUAGCCCUAAGCCCAAGCAGGAAGGGGGGUAUGGACCGUGAAAGGGGGAAGUAUGCACAGAAUUCACUUGACAUGGGCCUUGUCUGGAGCCUAAGGCCCAAAAAUAACAAUUGAGGAGAGAAAACCAAAUGGAGGAUCCAUCCUCCUUCUCCCAUCGCUCGCUAACCUCACAGAAGAAAAAUGAAAGAACGCUCCUCACCGGAAAAGCCUUGCCGCGCCGAAUUUCAUCACCGACAGCGGCGAAUUACUCACCACACUCAUUCUCGCUUCCACCACCUGCCACGAAUCUACUCCCUAUUUCCUACUCCAACUUCUUCUUUAUUGACCGAACCAGAAAGAUCAUUUUAAGAAACCUAGGUAAAAAACUUCAAUUAAGUCCUCGCAUGGAGGUAAUCAAAUCCAUGAAUUUGGGAUAAACGCUCACCUAAUCGAUGCCUUUACAACGUCGACAACACGAGUCAAAUAGGAGAAUCUUUGUGUACCUUCGACGUCGACGACGGAGCAUACGGCGGACGGCGCUUAGACACUGCUUCGGUUCUUGGUGGAUGAUGAAGGCCUCGCUCGCGUCUCCGCUUUGAGAUGAAGACGAAGACGUUACACCGGUAUUGCCGAUCGAAAUGAAGAAGAAGCCUCUUGGAUCGUGAGUUUCCGAUUAUUCCGAUCUCUUCUGGAUUUCUCUUUUCUAUUAUUUCUUCUUUUUCCUUCUGCUUAUCACCUCCGAGAAUGGAGAGAAUUGCUGCAGAAUUGUUGCAGGAUCUUUGGUGGUUCGAUUGUGAUGAUCAUACAGUUAUGCGGAAGAAUUGAAGAGUGAAGAUUGGAAGCGGUUGAAGGUUUGUUACGGUGAUGGCUAGGAGAAAAGUUGGUUAGAGAUGCGAUGAGGUUGAAGAAGAAGAAUCUCGAAAUUUGUAAGAGAGAGGUGAAGAUUGAUUUAUAGAGUUGUGAGAGUGAGAUUAGAAGCUUGUUAGGAAGAAAAUUCUGUUAUUUUUGUGAGUUUAUGCAGGUUUUGGUAUUGGCUUGGUGGCUUGCGUUUGCUCUUUGUAAUUUCAUUUUGCCAUUGCGUUUUGAAUGUUGCUGGCUCGCGUUUGGCAGUUUGUAGUAGGUCGUUUCCAUUACUUCCUGCUUUGAGGUAGUACUGCUGCAUUGCUCAUGCGCUUCAUUUGCCGCUUAUGCUUUGACGCUGGCUUCACUUGGAGUGUGUAGCUUGAUGAAGCUUGCUGUUUGCAUUGUACUGCUGUAUCAUUUCAUUUGCUUUUUUCUCCA